rnacentral:rRNA from 1 species
UACGUAUGGUGCAAGCGUUAUCCGGAUUUACUGGGUGUAAAGGGAGCGCAGGCGGCGCGCUAAGUCUGAUGUGAAAGCCCGGGGCUCAACUCCGGGACUGCAUUGGAAACUGGCGGGCUGGAGUGCCGGAGAGGUAAGCGGAAUUCCUAGUGUAGCGGUGAAAUGCGUAGAUAUUAGGAGGAACACCAGUGGCGAAGGCGGCUUACUGGACGGUGACUGACGCUGAGGCUCGAAAGCGUGGGAAGCAA